AUUGAACGCUGGCGGCAUGCCUUACACAUGCAAGUCGAACGGCAGCACGGGAGCAAUCCUGGUGGCGAGUGGCGAACGGGUGAGUAAUAUAUCGGAACGUGCCCAGUCGUGGGGGAUAACGUAGCGAAAGCUACGCUAAUACCGCAUACGAUCUAUGGAUGAAAGCGGGGGGAUCGCAAGACCUCGCGCGAUUGGAGCGGCCGAUAUCAGAUUAGGUAGUUGGUGAGGUAAAGGCUCACCAAGCCGACGAUCUGUAGCUGGUCUGAGAGGACGACCAGCCACACUGGGACUGAGACACGGCCCAGACUCCUACGGGAGGCAGCAGUGGGGAAUUUUUGGACAAUGGGCGCAAGCCUGAUCCAGCAAUGCCGCGUGCAGGAUGAAGG
rnacentral:rRNA from 1 species